AGUAGCAUGAAAUAUGCUGAUGUUUGUGUGUACUUUCUGGUUAGAUUGGAUAGCCGAGCUUUAUGCUAUCCACCAUUUGAGUGUGUGUUGGAUUUGGUUGAAUUUUGAGCUACCAGUAGGCUUGCAGAAAAGAAAUGUCAUUCCCGUGUUUUGGUGCUAGUGUUGGUAUCACGAUUUGAUACAACCGUCUGACAGUUCAGUAGCUGUCAUUUUUUUUAUAUCGAUGUGUAGAAACGGUGGGCGAUGUUAGAGCGAGUUGAUUAACACACACAAUUUUCUUGCUUCUUUCGAAUCGGUUCGUGUGUGCAGUUCGUGAGGCCCUUUUGAUCGUCGGUCGUGUCUAGCUGUAGGUGCAGCUUUCAAACAGGGUUUUUCCAGUAGAUUAAGGUCAUCUGUGUGCAGACAGCAUAGGUGUCACGAAGAAAAAUGCUAAUUUGCUACCACACACUAGCGCCGCCACCUUGAACGAUGACAACUUCAUAGAAGAUCUGGCACGGAACACAGGGUUCACGAAUACUGAUGGAGAAAAAAAUUACGAGUUGGAAAGAAUCAACUCAAAAAGUGCGAUUUAGAUGUGUACCGAAUACAAAUGGUGAAGAAGAUCGGUAUUAAAAACAAUUUAGUUCCUUUUUGUUUGAUGUGGUUCAAGAAUUGAACGGUAAAAGUGCUGCAGACGGGUUUUACAAGACGUGAACGACAUGGCAGGUUUUCUGAACUUUUGACAGCGCAUACAGAGGCCCGUGCUGAAGGUAAAUUAUCAACACAUAUAAGCAAAUACCUAGUGGGUGUAUGCGCAAAAUGAUGGCUGUACGAGACGAAAAUACUGAAGAAAGAAGAAAUCCAGAAUUGCUGUAAUUUUCUUUUGAAGUCAGUGCAAAUGGCAAGGAUCUGGUAGAGGAUGAUAACAUAGAAGUGUGACAGAUUCCCGAAAAAAAAGUUCAACACAUAUAAGAGUGUUCCAUAAUUUUAAUUAAUGAAUGAAACGUUGAAUCACGCGGUAGGGUGUGUUUACGUGAAGUGUGUCUAUUCGAUGCAAUUUUCUCGGUUCCUCGGUAGUGUUUGUGUCGUGACGCAAUAAAGUGGGACUUUCAUCGUCGAAUAUUCACAAACACACGGACGCUAACGAAUGCUAUCGCGACAAACUGGCGACUGAAGAUUCGUUUUAACCAGGCAAAAGGAUCAACGGAAUGGAAGCAUUUUAGCUGGUGAUGUACGUGUGUUUUUUCUAGAGUGUCGAUAAUUUGCGUGUACAGAGCUAUGUGUGUUACAAAUCAUGCAAUCUAACUGCUGAAGAAAAACCCAGUGAACACGUAUCGUGUUAAAUUGUAAAUAUCUCCGACGAUCGUAUCCCGUUAUUACUUAUCUAGAUUGAUCAUAGACAGUUAUACCGGAAUAGUUUCUAGCAUGCUUGAAAAAAAAGUCCUGUGAGUGGCUGUAUUAUAUGUAAAAUUUAAUCGAAAAAAAUCGCCUAUUACCCUAAUCAUGACAAAAUCCGACAGUGUAUCAUAAAGCAGUCAACGGAUUGUUAGAGUGCAGAAAAAUUAGCUUGCGCAGUUUUAUUGAAUCGUGCAUGAGUGACAAAAAAAUUGACUGCUGAUUGGGGAAGAUCGAUUGACUUGAAUCGAAGAAAAAUCCUUGGUGCUCGGAAAUCGGAAAAUGCAGCGUCGCGAAACCACAAACAAGGAACAACAGUCAAACCAACAGCACCGUGAAGGUCGCGAACGUGACGUCGUACGACAGACAAGGUGAGCUUCAAGCUUGUACCUCACUCACUGACUCACGCACAUAAUCGUAUCGAUUUUGUGUGUGUGUGCGAGCGCGCGCAGACGUCGCCGCUCGGUCGCCUGACUGAUAGUGGCAAAGCAUAGUGCGCGCGGUGUGCGAUCGGUGAAGUGAAGUGAGGAGGAUUCAGAAGAAGUCAAGCACAGAAAAAAACACUACUAAACUGCGACCAGUGCAUUUUCGGUGCGUAUGUGUGUGCAAGUGUGUUCAACAGAAGACCGCAAUACGAACGAGUCCGAGAAUCCAGUGAAAUAGAGAAAAGUCAGUCAGAUCCAGCCAGCACACCAUCACCCGCUGAGUCACAAUUGGCACGGUAGGAGUCAUUUGCCAGUGACCUCCGAGAUGAAUGCUGAACGGUAAGAUAUUUAUGUUUUGUUUACUUUCUUUCCAACGGGAAAACUGAGGAAUACUUGUGCGUUGGUUUCGUGCAGAUAAUGCCAAGGUUUUGCAAAUUUUGUUUAUACAUACCAUAUAUUUUAAUCCUAUUCGAUAAUUUAGAACAAAUACAAAAAAGCUAUCCCUGUAGAUGGGCUCAUAGUGAAUAAAGAGAUUGAAGCAAUGUCCGUUCUGCUGAGAUAACAGUUGAUAAGAUAGUCUAUGUAUUUUUGGCAGAAUCGUAGGCUUUUUGGUGAUAAAUAACAACAAAGCUCUCGUGGUUGUUUUUUUAUCUGGUGUAUUUUUAUAUAUAAACUAGCUGACCCGACAAACUUCGUAUUGCCACAAAUUAAACUGUGUUGUACAUAAAUCGUGAAUCUCGGAUGACCUUUGUCACAAUCUUGAGUUUCUGGGGAGUUCAUGGGUGUUUUAAUAUACAAAUUUUCCUCACAGUAGAGUAGAAAACAACUCCCCCCAUUGCUUA